rnacentral:lncRNA from 1 species
UUUCUCCGAGUUUCGACGCCGAUGAGAGCUCCGUCGUCGCGCCGUCCUCCCCGACGCCCCUGUUACUUCGAAAUCUGGAGAUAACCGCUGCCUCCGCCGCUGCUGAAAAUGGAGGACCAGCGAGCUUCGCGGCGCCGCUGCCAUUGGAUGACCGGCGAACGCCUGCUGAUUCAUCCGCGAUGCCACUGCUGGUGUUUCGAAAUAUCGCCGAGGCAGCAAGAGCUGCCGUCGUCAUCGUCGUCUUGGCUCGACUGAACAGGGCCGCGUCCCUCGUUGUCUAAAAGCUAAAUUCUUCAAGUUUCGUUCCUCUCUUAUUCUACGAAUUAUAGGUGUUGUUGUGCUAAGUAAAAGGCCAUGGUUUUUAAGCCUAAUUCGGGUAUGGUUACAUGCUGUUGGUUAUACAUAGAAGUGAACAUGUUGUUGGUUAUUCAAUAAGUAACACCAAGCAGUGGACUUGCUACUGUGAGACGAUAAGGCUAUUGUGUAAAAGUCAUAGUAUGUUUGAUUCUAUAGGAAGUAACUAGUUAUGCUACUCCUCUCGUAUGAUGCAUUUCAAUUUAAUGAACGUGAUUUCUAUGGGUGUGCAUCAUGUAACAGGAGGAAGUAAAUUGAGAAGGAAUAAAAUACCUUAAUGUUUGUGUUGGUUGGCUUGUUGGAUUGAAUGAGCUAGAACUGAAAGGAAAUAAUUGUGGUUUCUCUCAAUAAAUGCAGGUUGUAGAUGGUAUAGGACUUCUUCCCUGCACUGUGGUAAUGCGGGUGGACUUGCUGUUGAAUUUAUUGAAGUAGACGAAAUAUGAGAAUAACCAAGUUGUUGUUCUUACAUUAAUGCGGGUGGAAUGUUGAGAGUGUUGAAGAGAGUUUUAGAGGAAGGCUUACCUUUUCAGGUUUGGUAGAAAAGCAAUGAACCUCCUUCACUUUGGUGGCUGAAGAAUGAGGAAUGAAUCCCUUGACGUAGGAGUUGAAGAUGGUGAAGGUUGGCUGGGAGAAUGGAUGUCAUAGGGUGGCUGAUUGACUCUCUAGGUGUACUUGGGUAUGGUUGAACUGUGGCUAAUACUGUUGGAGUGUGAAAAGUUCAGCAACAUACUGUUGCAGCUGCUCCUAUUCUCCUCUCUUUCUUCUUUUUCCUUUGUUGCAGGUGGUAGAAUAGAAUUGUAGUAGAGGUGUAGGGUUAUAAAAUUGUGAUUGUAAGAGCAUCUCCAAUGGGCUGUGUGACCUGUGUCUUAGGAGGUGUCUUAGAUGGUGGUCCCCACCUAAGACACACCCCUCUCCAGUGGGUUGUGUCUUAAGGGCGUGUUUGAUAUUGGCUAAUACACUGUAUUAGCUAAUUUAGUACAGAUUAGUCUAGUGUUUGGUAUUAUUUAGUAAUAAUGCGGAUGAUCCGGUUUAAUCCCACGACCCAGUAUUCAUUUCCACAAAAUUCAUAUUUCUACACUUUUAUUUUAAAAUUCUCAAUUUCAUUAAAAAUAAAAUUAAACAUUACAAUAAUUAAAAUAAAAUAAAAAACAUAAUUAAAAUACGAUAAUAAAAUAAAAAAUAACAAUAAUUUUCUAAUUUAAAUAAGCCCUCGACGCUUGAGCACUUCUUGGACUAGGUGGUUGUGCAAGGCCAAUUGUGCCUCCGUCAUACCCGUCGUGUCCUUGUUCAAGAGCUUCAUAUCCAUCUCUCCCGUUUCAUCUCGGCUUGC